CAAAUUUGUUAAAAGCUCAAAAUUUUGAACCUGUUGGCCUAAUAAAAAUCUCCCGCUCUCUGAUAUGCUCAACGACAAAAACCCUUUCCCCUAAUUCCUCUUCGGCUCUUAAAGCCCUCGACCGGACGGGCAACAAGGAAAUCCCGUCGCCACCGUCAGACACCACCACUUCCAACUCCUCCAACUCUCCCCUCUCAUUUGUAUUCUAUCUCCACUAAAACUCCAGCGAACAGCCGCGGCUCCUCCGGCCAACUGCCGCUGAUUCCACACCGAUAAUCUAGGCCUCUUUCAGCCCUGGAGAUUAAUGGAGUAUUUCAUGGAUUCAGAGAAUGAGCCUACGUGAGGUCCGGGUUUAUUCAAGGCACUCAGAAAUUGUCUCGGAUUUAUUCGAAUGGCGUGGUCAGAAAUUGUCUCCGCAGCAAUAGGCGGUUGCAAAAAAAAGAGAAGUAUAGUUGACGAAGUAGGGGUCAUUUACAGACAAAGUUGAAAGAAAUAAGAAAUCUUAUUGAUGGAUUCCUCCAAGAGCUUGCGCAAGAUACGCUCCACAAGUCGACACAUUUGCAAAAAGGAACAGAGGAAAAGUGCAACAAGAAAAAGCGAAAGGAAGACAAAAUGACAUCGAAUGUCAAGUCAAUCAUAGGAUUUGCAAUCUUGCACAAUUAGAUAAAAUUAUACUAUAAUAUUUGAAGUUUGACUUUUGAAUAUCAAUUUAAGUAAUGUUUUAUUCUGUUUGACAUUCAGAAAAUAUUUAUUUUAAUAUUUUGAUAA